rnacentral:rRNA from 1 species
UAUACCGAUGCGGUGACGCAGAGGGUAAAUCCAAGCAGACUGAUGGAUGUCUGUCUAACUUUGUAGGGGUUAUGUGAGGCAAAUCCUUGCAUUAUAAAUCCCUGAUGAGGGACGGGGACUGUGCAGCGAUGCAUGGGAACUUGGAGGAGCCGUACUGCCAAGAAAGAGCCGCUCAGGGAGGUUAUUUGUUGCCCGUACCGGAAACCGACACAGGUGGACGAGGGUAGUACCCAAAGGCGCACAAGAGAACCCCUGUUAAGGAACUCGGCAAAAUGCACGUGUAACUUCGGGAUAAGCGUGGCCUCAAGUAGGUGAUGGGGAGAAACCGAAGCUGAAGGAGGUUGCAAAAAAGAGGCUCUGGCGACUGUUUACCAAAAACACAGAUCUCUGCUAAGACUUAAGUCUAAGUAUAGGGAUUGAGACCUGCCCGGUGCCAGAAGGUUAAAGAAGGGGGUCAACGGGGUAACCCGUGAAGCUCUUGACUGAAGCCCUGGUAAACGGCGGCUGUAACAAUAACAGUCCUAAGGUAGCGAAAUUCCUUGUCGGGUAAGUUCCGACCUGCAUGAAUGGUAUAACGGCUGGAGCGCUGUCUCAACAGGGGACUUGGUGAAAUUGAAGUAUCGGUGCAAAUACCGAUUACCCGCAGCUAGACGGAUAGACCCUGUGAACCUUUACUGUACCCUGGCAUUGUAUUCUGGCACGUUCUGUGUAGGAUAGGUGGGAGGCUAUGAAGCGUGGGCGCCAGCUUGCGUGGAGCCAACCUUGAAAUACCACCCUUAACGUGUCGGACUACUAACGGAUGCUGUGGAAGCAUCUAGGCAGUGUCAGGCGGGCAGUUUGACUGGGGCGGUCCCUCCCAAAGUGUAACGGAGGUCUACGAAGGUUCCCUCGAGCUGUAUAGAAAUCAGCUGAAAGAGCGUAAAGGUAUAAGGGAGCUUGACUGCGAGAGAGACAUCUCGAGCAGGGACGAAAGUCGGUCUUAGUGAUUCGGUGGUUUUUGUAUGGAAAAGCCAUCGCUUAACGGACAAAAGGUACUCCGGGAUAACAGGCUGAUACCGCCCAAGAGUUCACAUCGACGGCGGUGUUUGGCACCUCGAUGUCGGCUCAACUCAUCCUGGGGCUGAAGUAGGUCCCAAGGGUUCGGCUGUUCGCCGAUUAAAGAGUUACGUGAGCUGGGUUCAGAACGUCGUGAGACAGUUCGGUCCCUAUCUACUGUGGGCGCUGGAUAUUUGAGGGGAGCUGUUCCUAGUACGAGAGGAUCGGAAUGGACGUACCUCUGGUGCACCAGUUGUCGUGCCAACGGCACAGCUGGGUAGCUAUGUACGGAAGGGAUAACCACUGAAAGCAUCUAAGUGGGAAGCCUCCCCCAAGAUUAGAUAUCCCUCAAGGUUCCAGGUAGACUACCUGGUUGAUAGGUCGCAGGUGUAAGUACAGUAAUGUAUUCAGCCGAGCGAUACUAAUAAACCGUUUGACUUGCCCUC